rnacentral:lncRNA from 1 species
GGCAACCAGAUUGGCUCCAAGUUCUGGGAGGUGGUGUGCGACGAGCACGGCAUCGACCCCACCGGCCGCUACGUUGGCACCUCCGACCUCCAGCUCGAGCGCGUCAACGUCUACUACAAUGAGGCCUCAUGCGGCCGCUUCGUCCCGCGCGCCGUGCUCAUGGACCUCGAGCCUGGUACCAUGGACAGCGUCCGCACCGGGCCGUACGGCCAGAUCUUCCGCCCUGACAACUUCGUCUUCGGCCAGUCUGGCGCGGGGAACAACUGGGCCAAGGGCCACUACACUGAGGGCGCUGAGCUUAUCGACUCUGUGCUUGAUGUCGUGAGGAAGGAGGCUGAGAACUGCGACUGCCUGCA